GGGGAAUUUUGGACAAUGGGCGCAAGCCUGAUCCAGCAAUGCCGCGUGCAGGAUGAAGGCCUUCGGGUUGUAAACUGCUUUUGUACGGAACGAAAAGCCUCUCUCUAAUACAGGGGGGUGAUGACGGUACCGUAAGAAUAAGCACCGGCUACCUCUGUGCCAGCAGCCGCGGUAAUACAGAGGGUGCGAGCGUUAAUCGGAUUUACUGGGCGUAAAGCGUGCGUAGGCGGCUUUUUAAGUCGGAUGUGAAAUCCCCGAGCUUAACUUGGGAAUUGCAUUCGAUACUGGGAAGCUAGAGUAUGGGAGAGGAUGGUAGAAUUCCAGGUGUAGCGGUGAAAUGCGUAGAGAUCUGGAGGAAUACCUAUGGCGAAGGCAGCCAUCUGGCCUAAUACUGACGCUGAGGUACGAAAGCAUGGGGAGCAAACA
rnacentral:rRNA from 1 species